AUCACAUAUACAAUUGCUAUGGACGAUUACGGUAUUACAUGUACAUGUAUGUUUCAGCUUUCUUUGCUUAGGAUUUGUGAAUUGUUUAAUAUUAUUGUUGAUUUCCCUGAUUCAGAAUCAGCGCUGGUUGAUUUGCGUGAGUGCUUGCGUCACGUUGAUUUGAGAGAAGAGCUCAUGGAAUCAUUAACUAAAGUUUAUGAGAGAAGAACCGCUUUGAUCCAAACUGGUUUGUAGUGUAAACGGGGCUUAGGUUACUCUACCAUGGUGCUAAUACAUCUGAUAUCAUUACCCUGUACAUCUCUUCAGUUCAUAGUCUAAAGCUACUGGACCCAACUGGUGUUGUAUUGGAAAGAGUAUGUGAACCAGUCAAAGCAUAUCUGAGGACUCGAAGUGAUACAGUGACAUGAUUAUUGCCAGUUUGAUUGAUGAUAGUAACAACGACCUUUCGGUGGAGCUGGUGAAAGGUGAGACUGUGUUGCUUGAUCUUUUGGAUGAGUAUGAUGAUCCUGAUCAGGACUUUGAGGCUUGGGAAUCAGAUCCAGUAGAUGCCGACCCUAUGAAGUCUUCAAAAAGUCGGCAAAUUUUAGAUAUAAUGAGCUUAUUGGUUCACAUCUAUAGUGAUCAGGAUCUAUUGGUGAAUGAGUAUUAUUACUAUCACUUGACUAUGAUGUUACAAGAGAAGUAAUACCCCAAUAAUAUUAUCAAUGCUCAUAAUAAU